rnacentral:tRNA from 1 species
UCUGCGGUAGCUCAAUGGUAGAGCAACUGGCUGUUAACCAGUGGGUUGCAGGUUCGAGUCCUGCCCGCAGAG